CCCCCGAUGGUCUAGUUGGAUAUGGCGUUCGGCUGUAAUGUAAACAUAUAACCGAAAGGUCGCCGGCUCGAUUCCGGCUCGGGGGA